UGGGGAAUAUUGCACAAUGGGCGCAAGCCUGAUGCAGCCAUGCCGCGUGUAUGAAGAAGGCCUUCGGGUUGUAAAGUACUUUCAGUCGGGAGGAAGGUGUCAAGGUUAAUAACCUUGGCAAUUGACGUUACCGACAGAAGAAGCACCGGCUAACUCCGUGCCAGCAGCCGCGGUAAUACGGAGGGUGCAAGCGUUAAUCGGAAUUACUGGGCAUAAAGCGCACGCAGGCGGUUGAUUGAGUCAGAUGUGAAAUCCCCGGGCUUAACCCGGGAAUUGCAUCUGAUACUGGUCAGCUAGAGUCUUGUAGAGGGGGGUAGAAUUCCAUGUGUAGCGGUGAAAUGCGUAGAGAUGUGGAGGAAUACCGGUGGCGAAGGCGGCCCCCUGGACAAAGACUGACGCUCAGGUGCGAAAGCGUGGGGAGCAAACAGG
rnacentral:rRNA from 1 species